UGGGGAAUAUUGGACAAUGGGCGAAAGCCUGAUCCAGCCAUGCCGCGUGUGUGAAGAAGGUCUUCGGAUUGUAAAGCACUUUAAGUUGGGAGGAAGGGCAUUAACCUAAUACGUUAGUGUUUUGACGUUACCGACAGAAUAAGCACCGGCUAACUCUGUGCCAGCAGCCGCGGUAAUACAGAGGGUGCAAGCGGUAAUCGGAAUUACUGGGCGUAAAGCGCGCGUAGGUGGUUUGUUAAGUUGGAUGUGAAAUCCCCGGGCUCAACCUGGGAACUGCAUUCAAAACUGACUGACUAGAGUAUGGUAGAGGGUGGUGGAAUUUCCUGUGAAGCGGUGAAAUGCGUAGAUAUAGGAAGGAACACCAGUGGCGAAGGCGACCACCUGGACUAAUACUGACACUGAGGUGCGAAAGCGUGGGGAGCAAACA
rnacentral:rRNA from 1 species